AGAGAGCAGGAGGCACGACAGGCAGCAAAGAGGAGGAGGUCUGAGGCAGUUGAGGCGAGCAGCAGUGAUGAGGAGGCUGCCGACAAUCCUGCACUGUGUGACGACUCAUCUGAAUAUUCAGAUGAGUUCGCAGAAGACCUUGAGCAUGAUGCUGCCUCCUAUCCUUUCGUCCAGAAGGAGCCAGAGGUGGGUGACUUUGUCCUGGUGCAGCUUGUCUUCCAGAAGAAGAGGUCUGAGGACCUUGUCCACUUUGUGGGCAAGGUCAUUUCCCUGGAGACAGACGGCCGGCUGGAGUUGGACUUCUUGAGGAUCAAGUCGCCCUUGCUGAAGGACACCUUCCACUUCCCAGCCAUCGGGGAUGUCGACAGUGUCGACCGCAGCAGGGUGUUGGGGGUCCUUACAGUCAGCACGGGGACCACCCAACGACAAGCAAAGCUCAUCAAGGUCCUCCCUCCCUUGAGGGGCUUUAAUAUGCAUUAGUUUAGUAAUUAGUUUAGUCAUUAGUUUUUAUAGUUUUUAUACAUAUAUAUUUUUUUAUUACAUUGAGAUUUUGCUACCAUAUUUUUUUAUUAAAUUGAGAUUUUGCUA